AUGGCCAAAUGUGAUUAUGAUGGGAUUAUAUCUGUAGUGUCUCGUGCUCCAGAUUCAUCCCUAAUUCAUCUGGGGUCUCUGGCCUCCGCUCGGUGCUUACUGGCCUUCUGUGGGUCUACUGGCCUCCUCCUGUGGGUCUACUGGCCUCCUCUCUGUGGGUCUAUGGCCUCCUCUCUGUGGGUCUCUGGCCUCCUCUCGGUGGCUCUACUGGCUCCUCUCGGUGGGUCUACUGGCCUGCUCUCUGUAGGUCUUGGACUCCUGGGUCUACGGACUCCUCUGUGGGUCUACUGGACUCCUCUCUGUGGGUCUACUGGCCUCCUCUCUGGGUGUCUGGCUCCUUCGGUGGGUCUACUGGCCUCCUCUCGGUGGGUCUACUGGCCUCCUCUCGGUGGGUCUACUGGCCUCCUCUCGGUGGGUCUUACUGGCCUCCUCUUGUGGGUCUUACUGGCCUCCUCUCUGUGGGUCUACCGGCCUCCUCUCGUGGGUCUACCUGCCUUUUGAGAAAGGAGAGUGCAAAUCAAUUGAAUUUCUAUUCAAACCAUAAGGGCUGAUUUCCUGGAUACAGUUAAGCUAGUCCUUGACUGAAAUUAAUUAAUUUUUCCAUGGAUAAUCUCCAUUGUGCUUUUUAGUACUAAUCUGUGUCUGGGAUACCACUCCUAAGCUCAUGGCAAUAUGUCUGGGACUUUAGGAAUAACAUUUUAUUGUAUGGUGUUUAAGCAAUCCUUAGUGUUUUUUAAAAAGGGAUUCAGUUCAGGGCCCAGAUUCAUAACGUGUCUCAGUGUAGGGUGCUGCUCUACGAUCAUAUUCUUACAUUGUUGAUCAUAAUGAAUGUGAUAUGGGUCUUAGAUAGUGAAAACGAUAUUUUAAAUUUAAAUCCACCUGUUUCAUUUUGGUCUCAUUUAGUUUCCUGAAGAAAGGAGGCACAUUUCUAUUCAAUUUAUUCAAUUUGUGAUCCUACAGGGGUCACCUGUCGGAGGCUGACUCCUACAGGGGUCACCCUUGGCGGAGGCUGACUCCUACAGGGCGUCACCUGGCGGAGGCUGACUCCUAAAGGGUCACCUGGCGGAGGCUGACUCCUACAACGGGUCACCUGGCGGAGGCUGACUCUACAGGGGUACCUGGCGGAGGCUGACUCCUACAGGGGUCACCUGGCGGAGGCUGAU
rnacentral:lncRNA from 1 species